CAUACAUAAGAAGUAGCACAUAUCCUGAAGGAAUGAAUAAAGCAGGCAGACUGAACCUGCGUUGAUAUGCUGUCAACUUUUCAUUGGAAGAGGGGAGAUUGUUCCAUUCAGCAAAAGGAAGAAAGGUUGUCGUUGUGCAUACCAUGAAAGAAGCCCUGCAACGCUUUAAAAGGUAUCAUGACAGUCCAGAGGGUGGACAUCUAGGAAUAUUCAAAACCAGGAAUGCGCUGACAUCAAAAUACUAUUGGCCAGGGAUGACAAAAGACAUUGCCAAUUGGGUUGCACAGUGUCUGACUUGCCAGAAAGAGGGAAAGCAAUCAAAUCUGGAUACCACCUUGAAAAGCAUAAAGGUGAAUUUUUGAAUCAGACACGUUAUUGUUUAUCAUUAUCCAUGGUUAUUUCUGCAAUACAAUGAGGGUUUGAUUUUGAAACAAGUCCAAUGCAUGUAAGUGGCACAGCAUAGUGCAGCAAUUACCUCUAAUACGCCUUUGCACUGGCUGGGGAUAUUUCUUCUGCUUUACUCUGUUAUUGUUUUCAAACAGUCAUUCCUGUACUUCUUUUUGUUUGUUUAUUCUUUCUUUCUUUCUCUUCUGCAUUUAAAAGUGGGCUUUCAUUUGGAUUCUAUGGCUGUUUUAACCAUAUUACAUUGUGUACUCUGCUUCUGACAUAUGGGUUCAUUGAGAACAUUUAGUAAUAAACAUGUGAAGUAUGACUGUAA